rnacentral:lncRNA from 1 species
GCACACUGCGUGGUUUUGCCUCUGGAGCUAAACACGUGGUCAUAAGGAGACUUUAUUUCCUGCUGCAGUUUGAUUCUUAACACAUACUGAGUGCCUACUACGUGCAAGGUCCCAGCCAGGCUUUCUGGGCUGUACCAGGAGCGAAGAUCUUGGACAUUCAAGGUUUGUUGGCUGUUGGAAGCUGUCACUAUGUUGAUACCGUGCAUCCCAGUUCCUCUGUUGGGGUUACGUCACAGCACAUGAGCUUUGCGGGUACUGAGACAUGGAGAACUGGUGACCUGAGAGAACGCUUUGGACAAUAUCUGAAUGGGAAAAGAUGGACGGCAAAUAAAUUGAUCAAUAAGAAGAUUAAUAAUAAAGUGCCUGCAGACAAUUGAUUUUGGGUGAUAUAAUGAGCGGUAUCCAGGAUUCUUUGUGUAGCUAAAAAAAAAAAAUGCCUGAAGUAGUUUGAUGAGAGCGUGAGGUGGUGCAGACAUGCGUGCUGGAGGUCGGUAGAGUUCCUGCCUGACAGAGUCAACCUGACCUAGAGGGACGAUUCCUGAAGGGCCAUGAGACGACCGGGGGACACUCUGGAACCAGGCACUUUGGAAACAGGAACAGCGUGCGUCAAGGAAGCUGCACUGGGAAGCUUCUCACCCAUCAGGCUAUUUGGUGAGAAGAUUUGGCAGGGACAGGGGAAAAAUACAGACUAAUUUUGUCACUUGCUGAGGUAGAAGGGAUAUUGGGCAGUAACGCCUCCUACUCUGUACAUGUGCAUAUGGAGUCAUAAUCUUUAUUAUUAUUAUUAUUAUUAUUAUUAUUAUUAUUAUUAUCAUCAUUAUCAUCUGCAUGAGUCAGACUGGAGCUAGAUCUCAUUAAAGAGUCCCCAGGGAGUCUGAAGAGGAACUGAGGCAGACUCAUACCAACUCAAGCAUCCUCAUCAGUAGUUAAGGACUUACCCAGAGUCUGGUGCAUUGAACCUCCACUGAAAAGGCUCAGUCUCAAGGAUCAGCGUUGUAUCUGAGACCCUAGCAUCAGCCUAUGACCCCCGGUGUGCUGGUGCACACCUUUAACCCCAGCACUGCCAAGGCAGGUGGGUCUCUGUGAGUUCUAGGCCUAGUCUACAUAGUGAGCUCCAGGCCAGCUAGAACCACGUUGUGAGAUUCCGUCAGAACAAAAACCUCGGUGGUCAAGACUUCAGCCGAGAGGGCUCAAUGGACAUAAAAACAGAAAGAGUGGAUAGUGCUUGAUUAGAAGUUUCCCUGGUGUUAACAUGCAUACGUAUGGUCCUAUCAUUACAAAGUCCCUGUUUCUUCAUCUUUAAAUGUUUCAGACAGUGAACAUUUAGAUUCAUUUUCUCUCUGUUACCAAUAAAACCAAACCUAUUUU